CCUACGGGGGGCAGCAGUGAGGAAUAUUGGGCAAUGGACGAGAGUCUGAACCAGCCAAGUAGCGUGAAGGAUGACUGCCCUAUGGGUUGUAAACUUCUUUUAUAUGGGAAUAAAAUGUUCCACGUGUGGGAUUUUGUAUGUACCAUAUGAAUAAGGAUCGGCUAACUCCGUUCCAGCAGCCGCGGUAAUACGGAGGAUCCGAGCGUUAUCCGGAUUUAUUGGGUUUAAAGGGAGCGUAGGUGGAUUGUUAAGUCAGUUGUGAAAGUUUGCGGCUCAACCGUAAAAUUGCAGUUGAAACUGGCAGUCUUGAGUACAGUAGAGGUGGGCGGAAUUCGUGGUGUAGCGGUGAAAUGCUUAGAUAUCACGAAGAACUCCGAUUGCGAAGGCAGUUCACUGGACUGCAACUGACACUGAGGCUCGAAAGUGUGGGUAUCAAACAGGAUUAGAUACCCUUGUAGUC
rnacentral:rRNA from 1 species